UACGUAGGGUGCAAGCGUUAAUCGGAAUUACUGGGCGUAAAGCGUGCGCAGGCGGUUGUGCAAGACCGAUGUGAAAUCCCCGGGCUUAACCUGGGAAUGGCAUUGGUGACUGUACGGCUAGAGUGUGUCAGAGGGGGUAGAAUUCCACGUGUAGCAGUGAAAUGCGUAGAGAUGUGGAGGAAUACCGAUGGCGAAGGCAGCCCCCUGGAUAACGACUGACGCUCAUGCACGAAAGCGUGGGGAGCAAACAGG
rnacentral:rRNA from 1 species